GCGAGGGGAGUUUUAAACAUGCUGACAACAGGUGAUAAAGAUAAAUGGAUGGAGCUCCGUGUUCAUUCAAGGCAUUCCACUCUCUAAAGCUUGCCAUUCCCGUCCCGUUGCAUAUUUAGGCCACCUUCAAGCUCUGAUUGCAGACCCAUUCUGCAUUAACGAUACAUGGGCAAGCAUAGCAGAAUCGUCCAUCGGCUAUUUCCUAAAAGACACGGUGUCAAAGAAAGGCACUGGCUGGCACCAAGACAGCUGAUUUGUCAGCAUAUGAUUGCUUUGUGGAGACAGACGGCAGAGUUGAUUGGAAUGCUGGGACUUGCCACAGCUGCUUUAGAUGCUGCAAAGCUUCCCAAUAUUUGAGGAGACGAGCAAAGCGGCUUCAAACUCGGCUCCACACCUCCUCCAGUGAAGGAUACAUCGAUGUAUGCUAGCGUGGAAGUCUUCAUAUUUCUAGGUGACAUCAUCGUGCUCACACCCAUAGGAACUGAAAGACCGUCCCACAGAAUCUGACACAAUCCAAACUUUAGAAAGUGGAGAUGGCUGAAGAAUUGCAUUUCCCCCAAUUAUGCAAGAUAUUUAGCCAAAUUUGUGUGUGGUUCAGUUGGUUAUCACACAUAGCGUAGUACCCGAAAGCUAGAUUGCCUACAAUGGAUAACAAAAUGUUUGUUUGUUUUUGUGGCUCAUAUCCUACAGACAAAUUCAGUAAUUUAAGACUGGCAAGCAGGUUUAUUUAUUUGUACAUGAACGUUAGAUAAAUGAUCAUGACUCUAAACAUAAAUAAGCAUGGCAUCUACCAUUAUUUCACUGUGUGAAUAUGCACAAAUUAAUUUAUUCAACUAACCGUUUCCAAGGAUGUAGCCUAUUUAUUACCAACGAUUUUGAGUUCAGAUGUUAUAGUGGGAAAUAAUUGUUUUUCAGUGUGAGCACUGAACGUUGGGGAACAAUAACAUAAUAUGAAGAGGCAUCAGUUUCACUAAUCUACGGAAAUGUUUCUGAAUUAGUCUAUGUGAGAUGGAAUGAAGUGGCAAUGUAGGCUGUCACAGUAUGCUAAGUCAAUUAUGCUCAGACAUUGGGCACAUAAGGAUUCUGGAAUUGCAGUAAAUUGUUAUGUUUGUAUACUAUGAGAUGUUUACUUUGAUCUAAUGUUACGAUUACACAUUAUUUCCCGUCUCAGCGCGAAUUACAGUCCCAAUUACUUAUAGGUUACUUGCAGCUUUAAUGGGCUGACCACGUGUAAGAUCUGUGUUUGGCUAUGGGACUAUUUGUAGAGUUGGCAAAAUAUAACGAUCAUGAUAGAGCUAUUUAAUAAAUAGUCGCCGUCACCUUUUAUGAUGGCGAAGCAGAUGAGCUGUCCCAAUUUUCUUCACGCCUCCUCAUCAUUUUCUUUCCUCCACUCUCCUCCUCCCCUCCUUUCCUCAACAUAUUUUCACACAGGAGAUGAGUGAAAGUGGGGAAAAGGAGGUGAGGAGUGAAAAGUAAUGGGAUGCAUCCCCUGAGUAUUCUCUGGGUACUCCGGUUUCCCCCAACAGUCUAAAGACAUGCAGGUUAGGUUAGAGUGUGUGAGUGAAUUGUGUAUGUGCUCUACAAAUAGAUUGGUGACCUGCCUCGGGUGUAUUCCUGCGUCUCACCCAAUGCAUGCUGGGAUAGGUUCCAGUACCCCCCGCGACCCUGAACAGGAAUAAUUGGGUUAAUUGACUAAUUGUUUGAUUUCAAAUCCAAAGUUGUGGAGUACAGAGCCAAAUCAAAAAUUGUCCCAAACAUUAUGUAUA